AGAGCAUCGGUGAGGAGCUUUUAAAUUGUUAUCCUUGCACUAUGAUUGUUCAGUGAAGAAACAAUAUGGGCAUGUUCUCUCUGAGAUGCUU
rfam:Gossypium arboreum cultivar AKA8401 contig_33047_1, whole genome shotgun sequence.